CUAAUCCAUAAACCACCAAUUCAACCAAAUCAGUUCUUUCUAAUUGGGCUUCUACUUAAGAGAAAAAAAAAUUUAAUGCUCAUGAAAGGGACCUACACUUCUUGAUAAGAGUCCUGCCACUCUUCACAAAUGGGAAGUCAAUACUUCUAAUGGCAAGAAUGUGGAGAAAUGGUUAAAAUUUCUGAUUCAUGGACAUUCAGUGCAAUAAAGUCAUAAAAUAUUUGGAGAAAGUCCCAUUUUCUCCUUUCUACCAUGAAAGACCAACUCAAGAUGAUUGCCAAGUGGCAAGAGAAGUCUUGUGAGGUAAUUCACCAUGUCCUCAGUCCUAGAAGAGCAGAAUUCCAAGUGAGGUCCCCUGGAUACUAAAAUCCUUUGACUUGUCUCUCCUUUUAAGAACUCCCACUGCUAGGAGCUAACCUGAUUUGAUAGAAUUUAUCCUCCAGGAAUAUAGAAUAGCAGGUGAAAGCACAGUGCCCUAGCAUUCAAGAAGCUGAGCUGCAGUCCUUUUGUCAACAGUAAUUUUACAACUUUGGAUAACUUCAGCUCUCUGGGCCUAUUUCCCAAAUAAAGGAGUUGGUCCAAGAUUUGUGAUUUUCAAACCUUGCUCUGUACAAAUCUGGGUGCUAUAGGUGGUCCAUCAGGUACUGCUUGGAGGAACAGGACUUAGGUGCCUGGUGGGCAGGAUACAAGUUCUGCUACGCCAUUUCAGCCAGCAUAUCAGCCAUGUUGACCUAUAUGUGUGCUGGACUUCUGGGACGGUUUUGAUUUGAAAAGGCUCCACUACUUAAAACUGUUUGAAAACCAAUAAUCAAAACAUUGGUUUCUGUAACCUACACAUGGAGGUUUAACAUUUUAAUCUCUCACUUGGAUUUUAACAGACCUUCCCAAAACUUAAUCAUUUAAAUCAUUUAAAAAUUUAAAAUUUAAAAUCAUUUAAAAAAAUAAUGAUAGAAUUUCAGUUGGAAAGGGAAAUAUCAUUAUCAUAAAAACAACCUGGCAGCAUAUUCUUCCUUAAUUUUUCACUCCAAACCAUGCCCACAUACUUCUGGGCCUCUGACCUACUCUUGCUGCUUCUAGGAAAGAACAAUUAUAGUAGAAACAUCAUAAAUCUAUUUAUCCAGUUUCCUCUGGGUAAAGGAUAAUAAAUUUUUACUUAUUUGCCCAGGAACAAGGGUUCACAGUUCAGUGCCCAGUACACAUUCAGAUGGUCAAAAAUUUUAUCCAUCAUGCGCCAGGAACUAUUCUAGUCUGUAGUCAUAAAGUGGUCACAAAGGCAAAUGAAUUCUCUGCCAUGAAAGAAUUUACGUUAUAAGAAAGAAUAAUGUAGAUAUAAAAUAAUUCCGACCUGCUCAAGUAGUAUAAACAAAGUAUAUAAUGUUAUGUAAUGCACAAUGAUGGCAUGAUGGUGAUGGAGGUGACAAGUAGAGUUAGAGAAGACCUCUCAGGGGAAAGCACUUCAAGUAAGAUCAAAAUACUGGAAAUGAGGCAUCCAUGAGAGAAAGUAGGGACAGAAAAAAUGACAAUUGCAAAACCCAAGAGACAUAAUGGAGCUGGGUUUAUUUAAGGAACAGGGAUCAUUAUGCCUGGAGUAUUGGCAAUGCAGGAAAUAUGGAGGGAGAAGUUACAGAGGAAAGCAGGAGCCCGAUCAUGUAUGGCCUCUGUAGCCUUUGGCAAGGAGUUUGAAUUUUAUUCUGAUUACACUUGGAAGGCAGUAGAGGGAUGGAAAAAUAGAAGGAGCAAUAGAGCAAGAAAAGAGAGUGUAAGGGAGGGAAGGACUGGUUACCUUAACUCGGGCAUCACCAUAGACUGUUCCAGUUGCUAAGGUCAGAAUGAACAAGAGUUGUGAAACCAUGGAAACCUGGAACAGCAUGUGUUGUUUUCUAUUAAUAAAGUGAUUUUCCACAAUCACUCUUCAAGUGAAGUGAGAAUGGAUAAGAGGUAUUGGAGGUCAUGUUAAAGGGCAGAUUUUUAAAGAGAACACACAGAGGGCUGUAAUUUUAGAACAGAGACUAAAAAUUAGAAUGAGACCUGGAGAUUUUUUUACGAAAAGAAAGAGAAAUAUGUUUGUAACAUAUAAAUCCUAAGAGAAAUGUAAGCUCAGAUAGGACAAUACAUUGAGAACAGCUCUCAGAAGUUUGCACUUUUGGUUCUUCCAAAAACUGAAUCAUCAUAAACAUAGAAGUAACUGUUGCUAUGCCUCCUUGACAUUAGAUGUGGUCAUUUCCUGUCUGAGAUGAUUGCCGAGUAUGUACCCAGAAAUGCAAGUUGGUCUUCCAACGGGAUGAAAAGGUAAAAAUGACUGGCACCCAGCCUUUUAGAUAGAAUGAAUUGUUACACAUGGAAAACUACUCCUGAAAGAAACAAAGAGGUGAAUAUUUCCAAGGGAAACCAUUGUCAAGGGGCAAGGGUGUUAAAGAAUAUACUGAGAAGAAACUGAGAAGGUAAGUGUUUUUUAAUUACAUAUAUGGGGACCUUUCCAAGGAAAAUGUUUCAAAAACUGGUAUUUUCUAAGUACCACUUAGUGCUGAAUUCCUGUAGUUAGACUCUCUCAUUGUUGUAUAAGUUUGGAUCCAAUUAGAAGGUAGAAACGAUACAGUGAACUAAACUGAGGAAGUCCCAUCUAGAGAAUUAUCAAACUCUGGUAAAGGAGUGACUGUAAUAUAUAAGGAAAUCAUAUGGUACUCUUAGGGUAGAGGGAGGGAAUCCAAGGAAAGAGCAACUUGGAAGGGAUCCUCCCAUGGCUGAGGGUCAGACCUUGUUGGUGAAAGUAACAGAGAUUGUUGGUUUUCCCAGACCACAGUUCAUGGGCUGUUGCUAGGCAAGCAGAAAACACCUUCUGUGUGUUUUCUGGGUACAGGUGAUGGUGGGCAGGGUGCAGGUGAGUGGCAAGCAGAGGCAUGGGCAUGCAGAGCAGGGGGGGAUCUGGAACACAGGCAAACUGUGCAGGAGACCUGCAGAAGUAAUCGGUGCCCAGACAAGGAGGAGGUCUUUGUAGAGAGGAAGUUUUGUGGCAUCAUAUUCUGUGUAGGAAAGGCCAGGGUAGAUUAUCACUAGUUCAGAACAAGUCUGCAAGGCAAUAAAAUGAUGGAUAGGUUCUGGGAGCAAGCCUGGGGAAGAGCUCCAGCAGAUGGUCCCACACCCAAAACACCAACCCACUGCGUAGCCACUGGAAAUAGCAGGAUAACACCUUCCUCCUCUAAUGUCUUUCCAGUGCCCUCUCUUGAGAAAGCUAAACAAUGUGCUCAUUGUACAGGAGGCAUGCUUCAGAGAAUUCUGUCCAUUAUUGCAGAGAGUAUACUGAAGGGAAUGUUUGGACAUGAGAGAAAAAUUGCUAACUGUUACAGUCUUUUGUGUAUUCCUUUUUUUUCCUUAGGAAAGAAGACCAUGCUCUAAUAAUACUUCGCAUCUUUAAAAAAAUGAACAAAAAUUUUAAAAUCUAUAUGUAUAAAUAUAUACAUGUAUUUGUAUGUGUAUAUCCAUCCCUGAAAUUACAUUUCUCUUCAGUUACCGUCACACAUCUCUCCUCUUUGAACAAAGCCUGCUUCAAAAUGUGAUUGUUUAUUCACUGUCCUCAUGACUCAUACUCUCUGUUACAACACAUUCCAUGUUGGCUUAUGUUCUACACUGCUCCUCUUAAGGUCACCUUUGUGUUGUCAAAUAUAAUGGCCACUUGUCUGUGUUUAUACCGUUCAACCUCUUGGUAGCAUUCAAGUUGAAUACACCUCCUUUAUUCAGACCCUCGCUUUCCUUUGUGUAACAUGAUUUUCUGUGUUUUCUGCCUGCCUGCCUAGAGACUUUUUCCCCCUCUCGUUUGCCCAUUCCACCUCUACUACUUGGUCUCUAAAUUUGGAAUACCCUGGAGUUCCAUCCCCUUCACUGCUUUGCCCUAUCUACACUUUCAUUCUGGGUAAUAUCCACUCUCUGGUUUACAUACUGCCUAAAAUUUCAAUGACUUCUAAAUAUUCGUCUCCAACUCUGAUCUCUUGAUUGAGUUUAGGAAUUGCAUAACCAAUUGCCUACUUAACUCUAUCAUCUAGGAGGCAUCUCAAACUCACCAUGAUCAAAGUAGAAUUGAUUUAUAUCCCAAAACACAUUUGUCCGAGUCUUCUCCAAUUCACAAAAUGGUAGCAAGACUCCUAUAAUAGAAGCUAUUCUUUAUUCAUCCAUUUCUCUCACCUCAAAAUCCUGUCAUAUUUUGUUAAAUGUAGAUAAUCUAUCUCUUCUGUACUUUCAUUGCUAUCAUCCUGGCUCAGGCCACCUCUCUCCUGGAGUUAGGCAACAACUGGUCUUUCUCCUUAUAAUCUUGAAACUUCUUCAAGGCAUUCUCUACACAGCAGUCAGAUUGAUUUUUUGAAACUGUAAAUUGUGUUAUUUCACUUCCUUAGAUAAAAUCUUUCAAUGGAUUCUAAAUCCAGCCGCAGGGCAAGUGUCUCCUAAGAGAUAAUUUUUCCUGACCACACAAACUAGAUGUAGGUCCCUCCAUCUAUCAGUUAUAUUAUCAUGUUCCCUUUUUAUGUGACUAUCACUAUCUAAGAUGAUCUUAUUAAGUUAGGUUUAUAUGUGAUUUUUACCUGUUCUACUCAAUGCUAGAUUCUAAGCUCCCUGACUAUAAAGGCCUUGUGUUGCUCACUAGAUGUUUUGUCCACAGCAUCUAGAAAACACCCAGACUAUAUUGGUUCAGUCUGUGUGUGUUGAAUAAAAUAAAGACUCCUUUUACAUUUGUCAGGGAGGAAGCUGGAUGCCACAGUGACUAAUAGUCACUUAUUAGCUCAUAGCUAAUAAUUAUAUAGCUAUUUAUAGAAUGGCAUGUUAUAAAGACAUGUUCUCUUUCAGGAGGAUAUAUCUAGAUAUUCCAGAAAGACUCCAAGAUCCAUCAAGUCUGCAAAAGCCCAUGAGAUGUGUAUUAUGAAAUACUGUCAGGUUGUGAGUCAGAAAUUUCAAAUUUAGGGACAAAGGUUGUAUUUUUCAUGACUACCUAUUGGUGACUGAAGCUUUAAAAGAGAAAGAAAAAUAUGAACAUAUGUUAACAGUUGUACCUUUGUGUUUGCCAGGAAAGAUUUGCUCUUUUGGAACAUGAACAAUGAUAAUGCUCCAAGUGUCUCCUGGAAAGGGUUUGGCACACUUAGAAAAAUAAGGAAGAAUAAGAUUUGGUCUCUGCCAGAAAGUAUAUGUAAUCCAACUAAAGAGCUGUCAUGGAAACUACUAGCAUGAGUUGGAAACUACAAUUGAAAGAGUCCUGGAUAGUGUGUUCCUGUAAGAUCAACUUGCCUCUGGAGAGUAAUAAUAAAAGACUGCAGAUGCAGUUGUUCAGGAAAAGGAAGAGACACCAGGGAGGCACAUGCACAGAAGAAAGACCAUGUGAGGACAGAGCAAGAAGGUGACAAUCUGCAAGCCAAGGAUAGGGGCCUCAGAAGAGCUUGGACUUAGAGCCACCAGAACUCCUUUCUUUUACAGCAGUGAUUCUCAAAUUACGGUCCACAGACAUAAACAUACAGUCCAUGUGCCAGCCCACAGAAUGCUUCUACUGGUCCUCAUCAAGAUCCAUAUGGAAACUGAGGUGGCAGUGAAUACACAUGGAUGAAAAUAAACAUCUUCAUGGACAAGAAAAAAAUAAGUUUUGUACAGUUACAAGAAACAGUUAAGAACUCAGGUACUUUUCCAACUACCCAGAUGAAGAAGUCAUUAAAACAGGCUAUCAAGAUGAUGUCAUGGCACAGGAAUUGGGAAAAGAUGAGCACAAUAAGCUCUCACAAGCUAGUAUGAGCCUGCACGCCCCUGCUGGUGAAGGUGAGGAUUUCCACGUGGAAACAUUCUGAUGAAAUUCGCAUAUGCAGAGCUCAAGUUCAGGAGUAGAAUCUGGGUGAGUCAUUGAUUUUUGGAAUCAAUGAAAUUAUCUACGAACAAGUUUCUUUUUAAAAAACAAAAAUGACAUUGGGCCCAAAAUGGAAUCGUUUAUGCUAAGCCCUAUGUCACCAAGCCCAGACUUAAAGUUUCAGCUCUCCCAGAAAUGGAAUCUUAAAUAAAUCAACUAGUAAUUGCCUCAUCAGCUCAAUUUUGGUAAUCUGCCUGAUAGACCCUUGCCAUCCCUGAAAGAAAAGUAACCUUGCAAAAACCAAUCUUCUUUUGUGUCUACUAUAGUAACUUCCUUAUUCCCACUCCUUUCUGCCUAUAAAAGUUUUUCAUUUUAUACAGUUCCUCGGAGCCCUUUUCUGUCUGCUACAUUGGAUACUGCCAGAUUCAAAUUAAUUUUUGGCUCAGAUAAACUCUCAAGUAUUGUAAUAUGCCUCAGUUUACCUUUAACAGUUCUAGUGUCAGAAGAAGCAACUGAAUGAGACCUCUGAGAGCCCUCAGGAGCAAACAAGCAAAAGUACCCACUGACCCCCUGGAACUCACUGCCUUCUUUCUUGCUGCCACUAGUGGUUGUAGUCCUUGUUUCUGAUCUGCGCCAACCAGAUUCAAACACAGAACCUCUCUGAGUUCCACCAAAGGAAUCCAUUCACGCAAAAGCUUUUCGCACUAUGUGGAUUUCACUGAGAAUUUGGCAAGGGACAGUCUUUUACUGGUCAAGAAGAGAGGUGAAGAAUCUGAGCUCAAUUCCUCCUGCAGACACAAGGCUGCAACAGCAUAUAGUACCCCUCAUUCUGAGAACAACCCGAAGACUGGCAGGACAGCUUUUCCACAGUUAAAGAUACGAAGACAAACCUACAUCUAGAAAGGUGUUCCUGUAUAGCGACUAUUAACCUGCCAUGCCUUGUGGUCAACCCGGUCCAGAACCAGCACCACUCCAAAGCAAGUCUUGCCCUAGUGAGAGAAGGAGGCAGCCCUGCUUACCACCAAACCCGUGGCAAGUUGUACCCAGGACUUUCACCCAGCUGCAAACAUAGGAGACACCACUGGAACAUCUGGUUCUACUAAACAGUAAGUACUGCACUAAAGGAAACCCCAAGAUUUCUUCUAUAUAGGGCCAGUAACUUUAAGACCAGGAGACGUAGCUGACCUAAUACAUAGAGACAAAUAGAGUCAGACAAAAUGAGGAAAAAGAUGAGUAUGUUCCAAAUGAAAGAACAACACAACUUAAGAAAAAGAAUUAACAAUAUGGAGAUAAAUGACCUACCU